rnacentral:lncRNA from 1 species
UGCACAAAGUGAACCGAAUGAAUUCUUAGACUACUUGCAAAAUUAUUGCUGACUUGCAUUGAUGUGUUGAUUUGAGUGUAUUACCAAAAAUUGAAGAGUGCAUGUGAGUAGUGUGAUGAAAUCAUAGAGCUUUGGUCAAAAAGUGUGAACUACUUGAAAAUGUCUUGCGGGAACAAUUGUGCAAUUGAGCAUUGUUUGCAGGUGGAUCAUGGAUCAUCAGGUGAGUCUCAC